rnacentral:rRNA from 1 species
GACGAACGCUGGCGGCGUGCUUAACACAUGCAAGUCGAACGGAAAGGCCCUGCUUUUGUGGGGUGCUCGAGUGGCGAACGGGUGAGUAACACGUGAGUAACCUGCCCUUGACUUUGGGAUAACUUCAGGAAACUGGGGCUAAUACCGGAUAGGAGCUCCUGCUGCAUGGUGGGGGUUGGAAAGUUUCGGCGGUUGGGGAUGGACUCGCGGCUUAUCAGCUUGUUGGUGGGGUAGUGGCUUACCAAGGCUUUGACGGGUAGCCGGCCUGAGAGGGUGACCGGCCACAUUGGGACUGAGAUACGGCCCAGACUCCUACGGGGGGCAGCGGGGGGGAAUUUUGCCAAAUGGGCGGACGCCGGAUGCAGAAACGCCGGGGGGGGGAGGACGGCCUUCGGGUUGUAAACCGCUUUCGCCUGGGACGAAGCGGGGGUGGCGGUAAUGGGUAAAGAAGCCCCGGCUAACUCCGU